rnacentral:tRNA from 1 species
GGCACUAUGGCCGAGUGGUUAAGGCGACAGACUUGAAAUCUGUUGGGCUCUGUCCGCGCUGGUUCAAAUCCUGCUGGUGUCG